UACAGAGGUCCCGAGCGUUUGUUCGGAUUCAUUGGGCGUAAAGGGUGCGUAGGCGGCGGGGAAAGUCUGAUGUGAAAUCCUGGGGCUCAACCCUGGAACUGCAUUGGAUACUUCCUUGCUAGAGUACUGGAGAGGAAACUGGAAUUUACGGUGUAGCAGUGAAAUGCGUAGAGAUGCGGAGGAACACCGAUGGCGAAGGCAGCCCCCCUGGGCUAGCACUGACGCUCAGGCACGAAAGCGUGGGGAGCAAACAGG
rnacentral:rRNA from 1 species